UCUUCUUAUUGAGAUUCUAUUGUAUAUAGUUUCAAAAAUAUCCCAAAAGUUGGUUUGUAUUUUUUCCUUUUUGGAAGCCGAAUUGUGAUUGUGACAUCCAAAUAUAAAAUGCUUAGCUGCCACAGAAUUUAUCUACCAAAAUUAAAAUGACACUUAAAAUUGGUUUUAGUUGUAAAAAAUUUUAACAGAAGGUGGAAACAAUCGUCAGUUAUUGAUUCCUAUUAUAAACUGAAAAUCCCAAAUUUUGCUCUUACAUCUUUUUGGCGAUUUAUACUCUGUCCACAUUUUCAGGGCUUCCAGAAGAAUUGCAAACUUUUUGCAAGUUAUACAUGAGUAACACAUCCUAAUUUGGUUACAGCAACCUCCAUAAUAUUAUGCGCCCCAGGAAUGCAAUUAAAGGUCCAGUCAGGAAAACCGUCAACUCGCUUCUAGGUCAGCACAUGAUACAAUUAAGAGGUAGUGUCAUUAGCACAACAACAAAAAAUCUACCCCCCACGAAAUUACCUUGAGUGGCAAAUGCCGUUAAUGGAAAUGUCAAAGUGGUUUGUUUUACAAUUUAUCUUUUACAAAUGUGUCUUAUAUUUGUAUUUUCAUCAUUAUAACACUGUUUUGUUGCUUAUGAGUGGAAUAUCAGACCAAAUAGAACAUCUUUUUAAGAUUUUAGAAUAAUAUCAAAGCUGUGAUAUCGGGCAUUUGACAUUUACAUUUACUGCAUAAUCAAAACAAAAAUAAAAAAUUGUACUCCGCUGUUCGCAUGACAUCACCUUAUUAGUCAGCAUCAUCAUUCAAACGCUGCACGAAACAUUUGCUUGUCCGGAGCAGCUGAGAAGAAAUUAAAUCGAAAAGGUUCAUGCCAUUCCUCCUGUAGCCAAUGAUAACCAGGAAGCGCCGGUAAAUUUCGCCUACAAAAUAUCAAACAUGGGUACAUUUGUCAAGAACGUGAAUGGAGGCUAUCAUCUUUCAUACCCCUCAUUGCGAAGCGAACUUGUUUGCCUUCAACUACAACAUCCAGCAACAAAUGUAGACUUUGCAGAAUGGUUAUCUAUUCUGCAUCGCCUGGCCUAUAUUGCCAUGACACUUUGCCGUCAACAUCAGCCAAUGCCGCAUCAAACCGCAGCCAUCAUGUUAUUACUGCAACGCCACCAAACUGAUAGUACGUCAACGUCACUGUCAGCUAAAGUCCACUAUGUCAGGCUGUGGAAAACGAAUAUAGUAUCAGCCUUAAGUUGGGAGAAAUAAUUCCCGGCAGAUAGUUAUACCCAGUGGAAGUACUGGUUGGAGCAGCUUAAAAGAAUUAUGAAAUUUGAGAGACCAAGAUGUUAUGCCAUUGGUUUAAGAAGCUGUAAAGUCGGUUUGCACGUAUUUGUCGCUGGAAGUAAACCAGCAUUGUCAGUGGUGGCAUUGGGAUAACGGACAAAACAAUCUUUGCCCCAACACAACAUCACACCAAUCUACAAUACAAGUAGAACGGCAAGCCACCGCAAUGAAUUUACGAGUGCAAAAGAAGUCGGAUUCGCACAUGCUAGAUGAGUAUAUUGUCAAAGCCCGGCAUUGGUGUUCAGGUGCUUGCAAGAUGUGGUGCUUAACUUUAACGGUGAAUCGUUGUCGGUUGACCUGUCACAGAAAGAAAAAUCUGUAUUGUAUAUGUUUCAUCAAGAUGUAGGUGCCUAUCGGCGGCAAUUUCUCAAUUUUCUCCAGACUAAACGAUGAAAUCUCAGUGAAGCCUCUCUAUCUGAGUCAGUUCUCGUAGGCGGGGACGUUAUUAAUGGCACCCCUGCAGAGACGAUAACCCAGCCUUAUAUACUUAAUUUUUGGUAAUUUUUAAGUAAAUUUUUUUGUAUAAAUAAAUAGUUCUUGUCCUUUUCUAUAUGUGAUACCAAAAACCAUGUAAGCUGUGCUUUGUAUUUUUGUUGUAAUUUUUACUGAAUUCUCCUAAAGCGUUAAAUGUAAAUUUUUAACU